GGAGAGAUGGCUGAGUUGACUAAAGUGUCGGAUUGAUAUACCGAUAUCGAGGGUUCAAAUCUCCUUCUUUUCG